AUUGAACGCUGGCGGCAGGCCUAACACAUGCAAGUCGAACGAGUGGCGGACGGGUGAGUAAUAACUGGGAACCUGCCUGAUGGAGGGGGAUGACUACUGGAAACGGUAGCUGAUACCGCAUACCAUCGGAUGUGCCCAUAUGGGAUUAGCUAGUAGGUGGGGUAAAGGCUCACCUAGGCGACGAUCCCUAGCUGGUCUGAGAGGAUGACCAGCCACACUGGAACUGAGACACGGGCCAGAGUCCUACGGGAGUCAGGAGUGGGGAAUGUUGCACAAUGGGCGCAAGCCGGAUGCAGCAUGGCCGCGUGUAGGAAGAAGGCCUACGGGUUGCAAAUUACUUUCAGCGGGGAGGCGGUACCCGCAGAAGAAGCACCGGCUAACUCCGUGCCAGCAGCCGCGGUAAUAC
rnacentral:rRNA from 1 species